GGUUGUAGCUCAGUGGAUGAGCGCUUGCCUUGCAUGCAUGAGGCACUGGGUUUGAUUCUCAGUACCA
rnacentral:tRNA from 1 species